rnacentral:lncRNA from 1 species
GGGUUAUAGGCUAGUUUAUAUAAUAUAACAACAGGGAAUCGGAUGUUGUUAUAAAAUUAUUUCACAUUUUUUACUUUUUUUUGUCAUAUCAUAUUUUGAACUUAUAAAUACAUAGAAAACUAAAAUUACAUAGUUUGCAAAUACCCCUUUUUUGGAAGAAAAACAAUUUCAAUACUUGACAAAAAAGCCUAUCCAUUUUUAACUUGCAGAGAGUUCAAGUAACUCAGGACAAUUAAGUAUUCAACAAUAGUUCUGCUAGGUAAAAAGAUUACAAGUGCCAGAGAUGCUAAAUCAGAAUGUGUGACUCUAAAGGCAACAAGCAGUCGAAACAGAGGCCGAUAUUGUCUGUCACUCACUGAUAAUCAACAAUUCAACAUAGGGCUGUAAAAUGAUCCGGGUGAUCCCGAGUACCUCUAUGCUCGAGUACCGGAUCAUAUAACUUUCAGUUUGUCCAGAUUUGGGUUCGGGAUCGUUUUAUUCGGAUAUAAACCGAUCCUGGGUAUUUGAGAUUCGGAUCUGAACCGAAUAUGAUCCAGUAUCGUAUUUUCCAUUUUUUAACGGGUAGUUUAUGAUCCAUCGAAUAUGAGCCGGAUAUGAUCCACUAACAUUAAAUAUCUUAUUAUUUCUAUUAUUCAAAUAAUUAUCAUUUAGUCUAAGUAAAAUUAAUAUUAUAAAAUAUAAUAAUUUUAAUUAAAACCUAUAGUUAUAUGUUGAUAUAUAUCAUUUAUUAAAUAUAUAUGAAGAUAAUAAGCAUGAUCAGAUUAAAUAAAUCACAUUUUAUGAAGACAUAAACUUAAAUAAGAUAUUAAAAUUUUAUAAAAUGAUGACUAUUUACUUACAAAUGGAUUUAAAUUAUAAUAUGUAUAUGAGUUUGAAUUAAAUAUGAACCGUGGAUCAUAUUCGCGUAUUCGGGUAGGAUCAUAUUAUGAAAAAUUAUAUGAGACCGAAUCUGAGCGGGUACAGGUGUGCUCAGAUCCGGGAUCAUAUAUUAUACGGGCUUAAUAUUUUCGCCAGAUUUGGAUCGUUUUCAAAACGGAUAUGAGACAUGUAUCAUAUUUUCGAGCCGGAUAUGAGCCGAGACACCGGAUAGUCCGUAUCAAUUUACAGCCCUAAUUCAACAUUCAGAGGGGUUGACAAGUAUUCCAGUCAUGCAAGACCGUAGACACUGGCAGCUACAGAACAUCACAUAUGAUAUAGUGGUC